rnacentral:rRNA from 1 species
GUCGGACGAGAUCAGUUCUUUCGGGAACUGGUUUAGUGGCGCACGGGUGCGUAACGCGUAUGCAACCUACCUUAAACUGGGGGAUAGCCCGAGGAAACUCGGAUUAAUACCGCAUAAUACUAUUUGAUGGCAUCUGAAGAUAGUUAAAGAUUUAUUGGUUUAAGAUGGGCAUGCGUGCCAUUAGCUGGUUGGAGAGGUAACGGCUCACCAAGGCGACGAUGGCUAGGGGUUCUGAGAGGAUGAUCCCCCACACUGGUACUGAGAUACGGACCAGACUCCUACGGGAGGCAGCAGUAGGGAAUAUUGGGCAAUGGACGCAAGUCUGACCCAGCCAUGCCGCGUGCAGGAAGACGGCCUUCUGGGUUGUAAACUGCUUUUAUCUGGGAAGAAAACACCCAUGCGUGGGAAACUGACGGUACCAGAUGAAUAAGCACCGGCUAACUCCGUGCCAGCAGCCGCGGUAAUACGGAGGGUGCAAGCGUUGUCCGGAUUUAUUGGGUUUAAAGGGUGCGUAGGCGGCCCGUUAAGUCCGUGGUGAAAGCCUCCAGCUCAACUGGAGAACUGCCAUGGAUACUGGCGGGCUUGAGUACAGACGAGGUUGGCGGAAUUGAAGAUGUAGCGGUGAAAUGCAUAGAUAUCUUCAAGAACACCGAUUGCGUAGGCAGCUAACUAGGCUGUAACUGACGCUGAGGCACG